rnacentral:rRNA from 1 species
AUUGAACGCUAGCGGGAUGCUUUACACAUGCGAGUCGAACGGCAGCGCGGACUUCGGUCUGGCGGCGAGUGGCGAACGGGUGAGUAAUGUAUCGGAACGUGCCCAGUAGCGGGGGAUAACUACGCGAAAGCGUAGCUAAUACCGCAUACGCCCUACGGGGGAAAGCAGGGGAUCGUAAGACCUUGCACUAUUUGAGCGGCCGAUAUCGGAUUAGCUAGUUGGUGAGGUAACGGCUCACCAAGGCGACGAUCCGUAGCUGGUUUGAGAGGACGACCAGCCACACUGGGACUGAGACACGGCCCAGACUCCUACGGGAGGCAGCAGUGGGGAAUUUUGGACAAUGGGGGCAACCCUGAUCCAGCCAUCCCGCGUGUGCGAUGAAGGCCUUCGGGUUGUAAAGCACUUUUGGCAGGAAAGAAACGUCGCGGGCUAAUACCCCGUGGAACUGACGGUACCUGCAGAAUAAGCACCGGCUAACUACGUG